rnacentral:rRNA from 1 species
UACGGGGGGAGCAAGCGUUGUUCGGAUUUACUGGGUGUAAAGGGUGCUCAGGUGGACUUUUAAGUCAGAGGUGAAAUCCCAAAGCUUAACUUUGGAGCUGCCUUUGAUACUGAAAGUCUUGAGUUUGAGAGAGGGCAAUGGAAUAUCUGGUGUAGCAGUGAAAUGCGUAGAUAUCAGAUAGAACACCAAUGGCGAAGGCAGUUGCCUGGCUCAAUACUGACACUAAAGCACGAAAGUGUGGGGAGCAAACAGG